rnacentral:rRNA from 1 species
GUCUUGACGAGAGUUAUAGCGCUACUCUGAGAGGUACCGUUGUCCGUAGCCCUGCGUGAUAGAGAGUUCUCUCUUUUUAGUACUCGGUAUCUCUUCCGUGCGGGAUGACUUAUAGCUGCUUCGGCUGAUAUCUAGAUCUUGACGCCGUGAAGUGUGGUUAGGCUUUGCAGCUUGUCGAGAGUGGCAUGUACAGACCACCCGUCUUGAAAUGCGCUCUGAGAGGGGCUUCGGACACCUUCUCACUUAGGGUGCUGGGGUAAUGGCUUUAAGAGGACCGUCUUGAGACACACGCCAAGAUAGCGAGCCUUCGAGUGUAAUCAGCUGACCACAUCGGUUCUGUGCAGUAUGUCGGAGACGGCGGCUAGUGCGCGUGCGUGCAUAGUUGGUCGGCGUGUCCGGGUUUGGUUGUUACGUGCCUGUUUAUUCAGGCCUGAUGAUGGCUCGGAUUCGUUCGGCUGGCUGUUGCGUGCGUGCACAAUACGGGGCCAAAUAGUCUGUGGUGUAGUGGUAAACUAUCCACCCGACCCGUCUUGAAACACGGACCAAGA